ACACAUUUUUUUUCCAUUUCAAAGGCGUUUUUGGUCUGGAAUGGAUUUCUUUAGGAAUAUGUGGUUAUGGUUGGUUUUCUUUCCAUUUCAAAAUGUGUUUUUGGUCUGGAAUGGAUUUCUUUAGGAAUUUAAUACAAACUUGCAAAUAUAAAAGUCAUACAACGGCUCUUUUGUCCACAAAUCUUCCACUGAAAUUAAUACAAACUUUCUUUCUCUUCUCUUCUUCGCUACCAUUGUAGCACUGAAAUUAGGCGAUGAAGAUGGGUUUUGAUUUCUCAAUUAUCGGCAAAUGAGUAGUGGAGACAUUGCUAUGUUUAUCAGGGAUUUGAACCAUCGAAAAAGACAGAAUUCUUCAUCGAGAAAUAGGGGUGUUGAAGAGCAUUUCAAGUUUAAGAAUUUUUUAGAGGAAAACACCCUCUGCUUUUGAUGUUUCCGAGCCGUUGGCACAUCGUAGUUCGUCGGAGCUGAUGUUCUUUUGGUGAGAAGUCUUCAAGCUGGUUGUUUCGGUUUGCUGCACAAAAAGAGUGAGCUGGUUGGAAGAAAUAAAAAAAACUAGAGGAGGUUUUUGGAGCAUGGUUUUCUGGGAUUGUAAGUACAUUUCUGCCCUUGGGUAUUAUCUCUUAAUGAUCAGUUUUGAGGAGGGUAUAAUUGGUAUUUUUAAUUAUUAUAUAGUGUAUAAAUUAUUUUCAUCAUCACAAUUAUGUGGUGGGGUGGGCAAGAAAAGAGCACAAAGAAUUUGUA